ensembl:lincRNA
CUGUCCCUCUAGGUAAGGUGUAUAGCCUGUCUUAGUAUUAUGCAGUAGUAGGUACUGUAGUUCUCUAUCCAUACCUCUGGAGUUAAUCCCAGCCAUGCCCCUUGUAGCAAUAAGGAUUGUGGGCAAGUUAUUGAAUGUUCCAGAACAUUCUCAGUGUUCUAUUCUGGAUUUUCCAUUUUGUUUGUAUUUGUUACAUGACACUGGUUGGUGCCAUCUGUUCCCAAACAUACUCAGCCAACAGGAGUGACGACACACAUCUGCCCCACCUAGAGAUGUGAGCUGCACUCUCAAUUGCUGGUUUCCAUACAUGGUUGGAAGAAGAGGUUGCUAAAGGGAACUGGUUUUUCACUGAGGAUAUACCUGCCGGCUUCAUGGAUGCUUGCUGCAGCAAGAGAAAAUACACACUCAAGGAAACCAUGGACCAUGGGCUUUAUGAUGGGUUUUGAGCUUGUACAAGAUAAUGGAUAUCAGUUCAUGAAGUAGAAUGUUGAUUUUCUCUGGAGGGAAGAAGUGAAAAUGGAAAGCAAUGAGAGGUCAUUUUAUCUCAACCUACAGAAUCGAGGCAAGGCAUACAAGAGAGGUAUGAGCACUGGAGGAAUGCAGAUGUGAAUGUGGAUUAGCAUAAAUCUGGACCUACAAAAUUCACAGGAUACCAGCGCCGCGUGUUCCUCGACAGUUACUUGUGUCUGCCCAUCAGCUGGACCAGCGAUUUCAGCCCCGCAGUGUUUCAGCGUCCCCUGGGGAGUGAAGUACGACACAGUACCGGACACCAGCCCACACCAUCCCCGAACGGAGUUCAAGGCCGGAGCAGAUUUCAUUCAUCUUGGUAUUACCAGCUUCUGCCACUAGGUGGCAGGCACAAAUUUUUGCUAAAUUGAUAUGCCAUCGCAAGGCUAAAAGAGAAAGACGGCUACCAAGUAUUCAGGAGCUGUGGAGAAAAAUAAUGCAAAAGGUCAACAGCACUUGGGCAAUCCUAAAGAGUGAGAGAAUGUCUUUUACAAGAAGUCCAGAUUUCCAUGUUAAGUUUUUUGUUCCGCCUCAAUACAGUGCCUCGAUGUUUCUCUCCAACUCUAAGGACUUGGAAUUCCCCCACAAUGUUUUGCAGUUCAACUAGCUGGUCCUAAGCAGGGGUUGCCCUCCAGUGACUGCCCAAAAGACAGAAAAACUUGAGCCUGGGCUCUGGCAAGGUGAGACCAAAAUGCAUUUCAGCACUAAUAAUUCAGUCAUCAAGAAAACUAAUAUUUAAGGAAAUAUUUUAGGAGUCAAAAUUAAAGAAAAAAAUUACCAACAAAUACCAACACAUUAAAUAAAAACAGGACCAAUUGCUGUAGUAAGCCUAGAAAUACUGGGGCCUAAGGCAGAAAGGAAAAUUACUAAUACCGAUUCUGUGUUUAUUUAAAGCUUUUAUUAUGUUCAUCAUGGGUUCCUGCAUUCAUUUUGAUUGCUUAAUAUGCUGCAUUAUGUACAAUUUGUCAGAAAUACUAUUUAGCUUGCUUAUCAUAGUAUGUGUGCUCUCUUCAGUUUUGCUUCUGAAAUAAAAGGGCCUCACUUGUCUAACCCUAGGCCUAAGCUGAGCUGGACCUUGGAAACUUCUCUGAAAUUGCUCUUCCCACUUUAGAGAGGAUGCUGUGUUUGACGAAACGCUCAUCCCAAUUAAUUCCAAGGCGGUUAACCGGCAAAUAACCUCCAACGCAAUAGUGUAAACCGACAGCCAUACACACAGAAUUUCUUACGGAAGCAAAAGGAUCCUUUUCUGAAAAUGACAGGUUUCAAACGGAUUGGAAUUGGAUCCCCGGUGCACAAGACUGCUUGAUAUAGGCUGCAUACAACCCAAAUGCUGGGAUUGUCUUAAAAGUGGCAGAAACUGGAGAAGAGGAUAUUGAAACACUACAAGAAACACACCAAGAAUUUGCUGAACAUUGGCACUUCUCUGAGACAAGAAAGGAACCCCUGUGUUGAGAAUCAGAGUCUUAGGCCCAGAACUUCAAAUGCUCAGUGCAGUGACUUGUUUUAUAAUCCAUGGAUGUUGGUUAUAGUGAGAUAUGGUUAGGAACUUCAGGUACAAAUUUUGGUUAUGCAAUCAAAAACAAAGAAGAAAUUCACUGAUGAACACACAUCCUAGGGAGAUUUUUGCAAAAGGAAGUUUAGAAAAUGGUCAAACAGAGGAGCAUAGGUAAUGAUUUUUGAGACCAUUUUACUGUAAGACCAUUUGGGAUGCUGUCUUGGUUACUUUUUUCUCGCUGCUGGGACAAAAUACCUGACGCCCAAAAUUAAGGAAGGAAAGGUUUAUUUCGCUUACAGUUCGUGGAAGUUUCAGCCCAUACUUGGCAAAUUAUAAGGCAGAGUGGCACGUGGCAGAGAGCUGCAGCUCAGGAAGGCAGCUACAGCUAAGCCACAAGCACACACACCAGGGCGGAAUCGGGGAGGAAUGCCCCAAGCACUCUUUUCCUGUCCCUUACAUAUGCAAACUACCCACUCCCAGGCGGAUGCAGCUCUCACACCCAUAUUCAAACUCUAAUAGCCUGCCCCAGGGCCACAGGAGGCUUUGGGGGGGGGGGGACACAUAGACAUAAACCAUAACAAAUGCAAUGAACUGGAUGGCACAAGAGAUUUACAGGCAUUCCUGAAGUAUUCUUGCCAGGAAGGUUAAAUUAGGAUGAAGGAAUUUAGGAGGCAGAGUUGGUUGCUCUUAGGAAAAAUCCAAAACAUCAGAGUCAGCACUGAGAGCCCACGGCAGACAUAGGAACUGGGAAUCACUGUGGGUAAGAUUUAGGGUAGGAGACUGAGUAUCUGACUCUGAGGUGCCGUGCCAGCCUUUACUUCCAGUAAAAGCUGCAGCUGAAGGGAAGGUGGACAGAAUAAGAGAGCUACAACUCACUGGGAGAUUGCUCUCUUGUAGUUAGAAACUUUUGUUUGAAGUAGAAAAUAAAGGUACAUACAAGAGAGUAGGAGCUGCUACUCAGAACCUGGGGAGUCAGCCCUGUCCUAGAGCUGGCCAGUUAGGGCUCAGGGCAUGGAAUUAGGACGCAGAGAUCUGAAUGGAGAAUGCUGGCUGGACAGAGUCCCCAAAGGAGGAACAUUGUACUGCUCUGAAUAGGGUUGCUGGCAGGAAAGCUUCGCACAGAGAAACGGCCUGCCAGGCUCUGUAGGAAGAAUGCUCUUGGCUCUGAGCUCUGCCACCACAGGGAUGCAGAACAACCCUGCUUCCAGUAUAGAAAUCCAGCUAGCAACCGAAAUUCAGCCUGAAACUAGAUUUCCUGAGAAAGGGAAAGUAGCUUUGUAACUGGAGAGAGCUUGCCUGGGGAGUGUGAGGAAUUCACUUCAUGGUUAUGCUGAAGCACGCCAUUCAUGGAGAUCAAAACAGGCAGGGUGCACAUGCGUUGAUCACUGUGUGUAAAGAAUUUUAUCCUGGGAAUCAGCUUGAAACAUUAUCUAGGACCCCCAAAUAAAUUGCACAUCUUUUCCCUCCAUCCCUACAUGUCACUUGGGGUAUUUUUUUUUUUUUUUCCGGUACUGGGAAAUGAACUCACGACCUUGGGCUUGCCAGGCAGGCACUGUGCCCCUGAGCUAAAUCCCCAGCCCCACUUGAGGUAAAAUUUUAAAGGGUAGCUUUUGGCUGAGAAAAGAGCAUCACAGGAAAACAACAACAAGUAGAAAAAUAAGCAGGGAUGAGUAAUGUAUCAGCUAGUGGCUGAGCUCCUUCCUGUUGAUGUAAGGAACAUUCCUGUGUGUGUAGCAAGGUGCCUUGGUGGGUCAUGUGACCAUUUAUCAUGCUAUGUCCACUUAUGUGGAUUAAGAAAGACCCAGCAGACUACCAGGGCACGGUUUGGAGUGUGUCUGUGGAUGGCUGACAUGUAAACUGAUCGGGGGAGACCAGCCCCAGGGCCGGGGAGGUGACACCAACCAGUAGACUUAUAGUGUAGACAAAGGAUAAUAAGGGAAAGAGGGGAGUGUCUGUGUUUUGAAAGAGCUCCAGUCUUGCGUUCCCUUUGGACAUCUGUUUCCAGUGAUUUCACCCUUCUAAGGCAGACUCAUAUUGGCAACUCUAGAGUUGCCAAGCCUUCGACUUUUGACUGGUGCUGCAUCCUUGAUUCCUCUUGUUCAACAGCGAACAUCUUGGGCUGAGCAGAUACUGAAUUCUGUGGCUCUCCAGGGUGUAGACAGUGAUUGUGCACUUUUCCACAUCUGACCCUACAAGUCUACCUAAUAAAUCCCACUGUGAAC